GGGGAAUCUUCCGCAAUGGACGAAAGUCUGACGGAGCAACGCCGCGUGAGUGAUGACGGCCUUCGGGUUGUAAAGCUCUGUUAAUCGGGACGAAAGGCCUUCUUGCAAAUAGUUAGAAGGAUUGACGGUACCGGAAUAGAAAGCCACGGCUAACUACGUGCCAGCAGCCGCGGUAAUACGUAGGUGGCAAGCGUUGUCCGGAAUUAUUGGGCGUAAAGCGCGCGCAGGCGGAUUGGUCAGUCUGUCUUAAAAGUUCGGGGCUUAACCCCGUGAUGGGAUGGAAACUGCCAAUCUAGAGUAUCGGAGAGGAAAGUGGAAUUCCUAGUGUAGCGGUGAAAUGCGUAGAUAUUAGGAAGAACACCAGUGGCGAAGGCGACUUUCUGGACGAAAACUGACGCUGAGGCGCGAAAGCCAGGGGAGCGAACGGGAUUAGAUACCCCGGUAGUCCUGGCCGUAAACGAUGGGUACUAGGUGUAGGAGGUAUCGACCCCUUCUGUGCCGGAGUUAACGCAAUAAGUACCCCGCCUGGGGAGUACGACCGCAAGGUUG
rnacentral:rRNA from 1 species